rnacentral:rRNA from 1 species
AUGGACUAUGAAGAAGAAGAUAAUGUAGCUAGAGAAGAAGAACAAAGGAGGAAAGUGGACAGUGAUCUGAAAGACACAAUUGCUGACAUUAAGAGGAAGAGAGCUCAAUACAUGAGCAGUACACACUGUGAAGGGGACAUAGACCCUGAAGAUUUAUAUGACAUAGACUUGGAGGAAGAGGAUGAUGACUGUCAAGAGAUAGCAGUUCCUGAGCCUGUUGAGAAGAAGAUAAAGAGGCCUGAGCCUACUAGUAGGUCCCACUCUAGUGCUAACAGAAGCAUGAAUGAGGACUGGUAUCCAUCUUCAAAAGAGGAUGAUACAGGCUUUGAAGCUGAUGAUGAUGGCAAUGAGCCAAUGUCCUUUAUAAUCCCCUUUGGUAGAAGGAGUAGAGCUAAGAAAAGGCCACCCAGGGUCUGGUAUGAUGAGGGCAGGCUGCAUCCAGAGAAGCAAUUCCAGCUUAGGCUUUGUUUCAGAGAUGUGUACCAAUUUAGAGAGGCUCUUGUGAAUUUGCAUGUGAAGCAACUUAGAAGAUACAAAUAUCACAGAAACUGCAGUGAUAUGGUAAUAGUGUGUUGA